CCCUUAGAUGUUCUGGGCCGCACGCGCGCUACACUGACAAAGGCAACGAGCUACUCUUCACCGAAAGGUGUGGGUAAUCUUUUGAAACUUUGUCGUGCUGGGGAUAGGUCCUUGCAAUUUUUGAUCUUAAACGAGGAAUUCCUAGUAAGCGCAAGUCAUCAACUUGCGUUGAUUACGUCCCUGCCCUUUGUACACACCGCCCGUCGCUACUACCGAUUGAAUGGUUUAGUGAGGCCUUCGGAUCCGCGACUCGUUUGUGGAGAAGUUGGACAAACUCAGUCAUUUAGAGGAAGUAAAAGUCGUAACA
rnacentral:rRNA from 1 species